rnacentral:rRNA from 1 species
AGAGUUUGAUCCUGGCUCAGAACGAACGCUGGCGGCGUGGAUAAGACAUGCAAGUCGAGCGAGAUUUUUCGUUGUAGCAAUACGAUGGAAAGUCUAGCGGCGAACGGGUGCUUAACACGUGGGCAACCUGCCAUGAAGUGGGGGAUAGCUCGCCGAAAGGCGAAUUAAUACCGCAUGUGAUUAGAGAGGACAUCCUUUCGAAAUUAAAGUCGGGGCAACCUGACGCUUCUUGUGGGGCCCGCGGCCUAUCAGCUAGUUGGUGAGGUAACGGCUCACCAAGGCUUUGACGGGUAGCUGGUCUGAGAGGACGACCAGCCACACUGGGACUGAGACACGGCCCAGACACCUACGGGUGGCAGCAGUCGAGAAUUUUUGACAAUGGGGGAAACCCUGAUCGAGCGACGCCGCGUGGAGGAUGAAGGUCUUCGGAUUGUAAACUCCUGUCAUUUGGGAACAAGGUGCACACGUUAACUGCGUGUGCAUUGAUAGUACCAGAAGAGGAAGAGACGGCUAACUCUGUGCCAGCAGCCGCGGUAAUACAGAGGUCUCAAGCGUUGUUCGGAUUCAUUGGGCGUAAAGGGUGCGUAGGCGGCGCGGUAAGUCGGGUGUGAAAUCUCGGAGCUUAACUCCGAAACUGCAUUCGAUACUGCCGUGCUUGAGGACUGGAGAGGAGACUGGAAUUUACGGUGUAGCGGUGAAAUGCGUAGAUAUCGUAAGGAAGACCAGUGGCGAAGACGGGUCUCUGGACAGUUCCUGACGCUGAGGCACGAAGGCCAGGGGAGCAAACGGGAUUAGAUACCCUAGUAGUCC